rnacentral:rRNA from 1 species
AGCAGUGGGGAAUAUUGCACAAGUGGGGGAAACCCUGAUGCAGCCAUGCCGCGUGUGUGAAGAAGGCCUUCGGGUUGUAAAGCACUUUCAGUAGGGAGGAAGGUAGUGUAGUUAACACCUGCAUUAUUUGACGUUACCUACAGAAGAAGCACCGGCUAACUCCGUGCCAGCAGCCGCGGUAAUACGGAGGGUGCGAGCGUUAAUCGGGAAUUACUGGGCGUAAAGCGCAUGCAGGCGGCCUGUUAAGUCAGAUGUGAAAGACCCGGGGCUUAACCUCGGAAUUGCAUUUGAAACUGGCAGGCUAGAGUCUUGUAGAGGGGGGUAGGAAUUUCAGGUGUAGCGGUGAAAUGCGUAGAGAUCUGAAGGAAUACCAGUGGCGAAGGCGGCCCCCUGGACAAAGACUGACGCUCAGAUGCGAAAGCGUGGGGAGCAAACAGGAUUAGAUACCCUGGUAG